UCAACUGAUGGCAAAGGAAGACACGAAAGCGAAGGGUCGUCUCGAACGAUGGGCGACAACGACGAGGGGGAAGUUAGCAGUGCCAUGGCGGCCCCUUGGCUUGGCUCAAAGAACGGCACAUCCGCGUCUUCCCACGGUCACUGACGAAAAGACCCCCGACAGGAGGAAGAAGGAGGAGCCCUCUCCCUCAUGAAAUGCUUCCUGCUAGUACGAUUUUGUCAAGGUGAAAGUGUGGCUCCAGGGCAAUGCGGAUCACUAAUACGUUUUCUCCAAAUUUCUUCUUUGAAGAUGUCUUAACUCAUCCGACCUUCUG